AAACACUAAGGACAUGUUUGGUUCAUGAUUAUUGAAGUAGGAAUGAAAAAUAAAAUUGAAUUGUUUUAAAAUUGAAAAUAAAAUGACGAAUUACCUAAAAAUAUUUGAUUCAUUAUUAGAAUGAAUAUCGGAAUGAAAAAUUUAAAAUUUUUUAGAGAGGGUUUUAUUUAAGAUAGAGGAAAGUGAUGAAGGGAGAGUAGAAAGGUGUUGAUGAAAGAGGAUCUUGAAUAGUUUAUUUUGGAAUGGAUCAAUUCGGGAUUUAAAACCGGAUUGGGCCACAAAUGGAUUUGGCCCAUUCCUAUUCCGGAGUAGAAUGGGAAUUGGAAUCCGAUUUCUAUAAAACAAACGAUAACUAUCAGAUUCCGAUUUCAUAGUUUAAAAUAGGUGAACCAAACAUGCCCUAAAUGAAAUUGGGAGUUGAUCGCGUGGUGGCUGAGGAGGAUGUUCCUAAUAGUUAUUUACUAUUGACUAAAAUAGAUCUAUCUUAUUGUCUUGUGAUAAUUAGCCCAAGAGACUAAUUAGUUGAGUUGGGUGUGUCUACAAUAAAUCUAACAGUAAGAAGCUGAAUUAUAGAUUUAACGUUCAGCUGAAUUGAGUCAGGUCAAAACUUGUGAGUGCUGUAGCUGAAUUCUUAAGUAUGAUGAAUGUGCUAUUCUUAUCGGUAAGCACUUUUGGGAUAGCUGGUUGUCACUUACAGUUCACAAUUCUCACAGCGUUUGAGUGCACGAGAUAUGCACUUCGUUAUGUUUAUGCGCUAAUUAUCCAUAGAAUUUGAAAACUUUAUAGUGACUAAUAGAAAUUCAAUCACAAAAUAUACAAAACUAAUUUCACCCUUGAAUGUACAAUCUAGAAUCUAUAAUCUGUAAUCUAUACCAAUAACUAUAAUAACUAUAACUAUAUAUUAAUCUCCAAUCCCUUAUACACAUGGCAUAACCACAUUGAUUUGAGGGAGUGGGCCUAUAUAUAUCCUCCUCACCUAAUAAAAGUUAUUGCUUCCACCUGGUUUUUAAUUUUAUAUAUACACUGAAUAAUUUUAAUUACUAUUAUACAAUUAAAAUCUAAUCCAACAAAUACAAUUUAAAUUAUAUUGAAAGACUAUAUAUAAAAAUUUAUAGUAAUUUAUAUUAUUUUAGUUUAAAUUAAUUUAAAUUAUUAAUCUGGUAAUAAAAUUAUAGGUAAUAUAUUA
rnacentral:lncRNA from 1 species